rnacentral:rRNA from 1 species
GACGAACGCUGGCGGCGUGCCUAAUACAUGCAAGUCGAGCGAAGCGGCGGAUGGGUGAGUAACGCGUGGGUAACCUGCCCUUAAGUCGGGGAUAACAUUUGGAAACAGAUGCUAAUACCGGAUACUAAAGGAUGGACCUGCGAUGCAUUAGCUCGUUGGUAAGGGAACGGCUUACAAAGGCGAUAAUGCAGAGCCGAGGUGAGAGACUGAUCGGCAACAGUGGGAAUGAGCCACGGUCCAAACUCCGACGGGAGGCAGCAGUAGGGAAUCUUCCACAAUGGACGAAAGUCUGAUGGAGCAACGCCGCGUGAGUGAAGAAGGUUUUCGGAUCGUAAAGCUCUGUUGUUGGUGAAGCGGUAAUCAACCAGAAAGCCACGGCUAACUACGUGCCAGCAGCCGCGGUAAUUC